rnacentral:tRNA from 1 species
CCAUAGCUCAAUGGUAGAGCAGUGGCCUUUUAAGCCAUUGGUUGCAGGUUCGAGUCCUGCUGGGC